AUUUUGGACAAUGGGCGCAAGCCUGAUCCAGCCAUGCCGCGUGGGUGAAGAAGGCCUUCGGGUUGUAAAGCCCUUUCGGCUGGGACGAAAAGGUUCGGGUUAAUAACCCGGAUCCAUGACGGUACCAGCAGAAGAAGCACCGGCUAACUACGUGCCAGCAGCCGCGGUAAUACGUGGGGUGCAGGCGUUAAUCGGAGUUACUGGGCGUAAAGCGUGCGCAGGCGGUCUUUUAAGUCAGAUGUGAAAUCCCCGGGCUUAACCUGGGAACUGCGUUUGAAACUGGAAGGCUAGAGUGUGGCAGAGGGGGGUGGAAUUCCACGUGUAGCAGUGAAAUGCGUAGAUAUGUGGAGGAACACCGAUGGCGAAGGCAGCCCCCUGGGCUAACACUGACGCUCAUGCACGAAAGCGUGGGGAGCAAAC
rnacentral:rRNA from 1 species